rnacentral:lncRNA from 1 species
AUUUAAUUUGCAAAUAAUUGUAAAUUUUGAUAAAACUUGAUAUUUAUUCACAUAGCAGCGAAAAUAAAUGUCUGACAGUCAUAUGCUGUUAUGAAAGAUCUGCUCUAUAAAAUAAGAGAAAGCAUGGGAAAACUAUAUUAUAUUCAGUUUAAUUUGUCAGGAAAGAAUUUCUACAGCAAACUACUUGCUAGAAUUAUACAUAAAAAAUGGAAUGUAUUUAUAAUUAACUUACCUACAGAAAAUCUUCCGCAUCUUCUCUUUUGGAAAAUAUAUGAACUGUCAUAUCUUGUUCCUGUGAGUCGGUGUACCCAGAUAUCACCAGCUCCGUCACUUGAGAAGAUUUUUUCGUCUGAGAACACGACCGUAUUCCAAUCUAAAUGGUUCCAAUGUUGAUAUUGAUACG